rnacentral:lncRNA from 1 species
CGGCGAAAGUCAAAUUUUUAUAUUAAGAAAUGUUAAAUUAAAAUUUAGGAAAUUAUGAAUUUUAAAUUUAUAUUUUAAACCUAAAUUUAAAUUUAUGAAAUUUAUAUGAUUUAUAUUUGAAUUCAAAUAAUUACUAGCGGAAAAGAAAUAGUUUCUCAAUCACUACAGAAACGAAUUGUCUCUCACCAUAAAGAUGAGAGUCACUUUUGAGAGAUUCAAAUGGUUCCACAAUGAAAAUUAAAAUGCUAAUUUCUCAAACACUAAUAAUGGUAAUGAUCUGUUUCGAU